ACUCCCCUUCAUAUCCUCCAUUCCUCCUCUUCUUUCUUCUCUUCAAGCAAAGCCCAAGCCCAAACAUUCACUAGAUCAAGAAUCUCAGCAGCACCACUGAUGAUAACUGAUAACCUACUGAAUCUAACACUCUCUUACUUCGGUUCCGCUGGGGAAUACCACCACCGUCUUAUUCGCCGUCCCCGGUGCAUUUGCGCCAAAAACAUUUAACUGGAUUGGUGGUGCUGAAGAUGAUAUGCUUGAAGCUCUCGUAAUCUGAUGGAGCUGAUGAUUUCGAAGUUUGGCUUGUCUUUGUGUUACAGAAGACCGCUUCCUAAUCUUAAGAAGUUGUGCGAAUUGUAGAUCAUGGACAAUCUAAACAUAGUGUUGUUCGGAUGAAACAUUGAGGAACUUGGAUUUGAGGAUAGAGUAUAAAACCUUGAUAUCAGAGACAUAGACAAAUUUCCAGCCAUGGAGACUUGCACGGAGGGACAGAUCCAAGUCCUCGGUGGUUGUGCGUGCAUUCCAUCCUCCAGCUUUGUCAAUAGCUAAUAAGACUAUAUAGAGCAACAAAUCAGCCAAGGGAGAUGAAGCUAAAUUACUGGAUUCCCACUGUGCUUGAACAAGACCAAUUUCAGGAUUGUGUAUGAAGUAAGGAACGGUUCUGUGGAGGUAGUCUGGUUCUGGUUGGAAGUCAGCAUCAAAGAUGGCAACAAAUUCACACCCCUCAACAUAGCUGUGUUUCAAUCCUUCUUUAAGAGCUCCAGCUUUGUACCCAUUUCGGUGAAUCCUUGUUUCAUAUUUGAUGUUGAUUCCUUCUUUUUCCCAUCUUCGACAUUCUAUCUGUACCAAGUCCUGUAGGAAAAUUCCCAAUUAUAUCAAAUUUAUCAGCAGAACAUAGAUGUAUUCGACUGAGAAUUAUUGAAUGAAGUUAAAACCUUGAUGAGAGGAUCAGUUGAAUCAUCGAGGACUUGAACUAUGAUUCGGUCAGACGGCCAUGAAAGGCGACACACAGCUUCUAUUGACAGCUUGUAAACCUGCAAGCAGCCAUUUUUCAUUUAAUCAGAUUAAUGCCGCCAUAAAGCUGCUGUUAGGGGAAUUGGUGGUGAUGGAGAUGAAAUGAUUCAGUUGUGGAAGGUGGUGGGGAAUAUAGUUUUGAGUUCAGUUUGAUGCUCGACACUACCUACUGCUGGUUUUGAAGCUACCUUCAAUCUAAGCUCGCAUGAUCAACUUUUGGAGUUCAAAAAGACGUGACUAUAGAAUUGAAUUGCUCAGAGAAAACGAACCUUUCUUUCAUUAUACAUGGGUAUCUGAACCAGCACCAUCGGAUAAUCUGAUGCACACUUUUGAACCUCCCCCUGUUCUUCAACGCUGGCUUCCACUGGAUUAAUCGCUUCGAAUUUGUAACGCUUUUCUGGUUUAAACCCAGAAAGCAUUACGUAAUAGAUUAUGCCUGACAUAUACAAUCGUUCAACGAACACCAUCAGUAUCAUCACUGAACACAGGUAGAC